UACAGAGGUCCCGAGCGUUGUUCGGAUUUAUUGGGCGUAAAGGGUGCGUAGGUGGCGGAGUAAGUUGGGUGUGAAAUCCCGGGGCUUAACCUCGGAAUUGCAUUCAAUACUGCUUCGCUUGAGUACUGGAGAGGAGGCUGGAAUUUACGGUGUAGCAGUGAAAUGCGUAGAUAUCGUAAGGAAGGCCGGUGGCGAAAGCGAGCCUCUGGACAGUUACUGACGCUGAUGCACGAAGGCCAGGGGAGCAAACGGG
rnacentral:rRNA from 1 species